GGAAGUGAGGGCAAUCUGGCUGCAACACCUGUCACCCUAUUGAUCUCCAGGGUUGAUGCAGCUGAUCUGGCUGGCUAGACAGGAGUCACUGUCCUCCUUCACCACUCCAUGUGUGUGCUUCCCAAAGCUGUGUGCUCGAAGAGGUUGACCUUCCCUGAUAGAGGAGGGCCACUCUUGGAUCAGGGGUUUAAUUUAAAAUAGAUGAUAGAUAGAUGGAUGGAUGGAUGGAUGGAUGGAUAGAUAGAUAAAGUGGAGUAGAACAAAGUCCACAUUUCAUUGCUGCUCAAUCUGCAGCAAUG
rnacentral:snRNA from 1 species